UACGGAGGGUGCGAGCGUUGUCCGGAAUCAUUGGGCGUAAAGGGCGCGUAGGUGGCGGGACAAGCGUGCGGUGAAAGCUCGGGGCUCAACCCCGAGUCGGCCGUGCGAACUGUUUUGCUGGAGCACUGUAGAGGCAGGCGGAAUUCCGGGUGUAGCGGUGGAAUGCGUAGAGAUCCGGAAGAACACCGGUGGCGAAGGCGGCCUGCUGGGCAGUUGCUGACACUGAGGCGCGAAAGCCAGGGGAGCAAACGGG
rnacentral:rRNA from 1 species